ACCAGGCUCCGCCCUCAGGAUUUGUCCUGAACUCCGGAAGCCAUUGCACGGCAGGUGAAGUGUGCACUGUGCCUGGCAGGGGUUCGGAGAGGCAUGGAGACAGGCCCAGUCCCUGCCAGGCAAUGUUUGGCUCUCCCGUCCCUGACGCCGGGCCCAGCGGAGAUACCCCAGCCGUCCCAGAGGCAGCCUGGGUGCUGGCGCUUUUAAGAGCUUCACAGGCUCAUGCUCAGAACGGCCCCUCCGGAGACUCCGAUUUGCACAGCUGGUUACUGGGAAGAAAGUGGGUGGAGUGAAUUCAGGGCCUCCAUUCUGGGAGAGGCCUGCACCCACCCUGCUCACCUGCCCACGCUGAAACCCUGCUGUCUCCUCUUAAAGCUAGGGAAGGCAAUGGUGUCCUGAAACACAAAUUUCCACCACGGAAAAGGGAACUGAUUCUUGACAGUGUGUGCUACGUGUUCCAAAGGGAGCGCUAGUUUCAGGGUUUUAUCACAUGACUCUGGGUCCUUGAUAAGAAAGUAAAAAUUUUUAAACAAUA